rnacentral:misc_RNA from 1 species
GAUGAAGAACGCAGUGAAAUGCGAUAAGUAGUGUGAAUUGCAGAAUUCAGUGAAUCAUCGAAUCUUUGAACGCACAUUGCGCCCCUUGGUAUUCCAUGGGGCAUGCCUGUUCGAGCGUCAUUUGAACCCUCAAGCUCUGCUUGGUGUUGGGUGUUUGUCCCGCCAUUGCGCGUGGACUCGCCUUAAAGCAAUUGGCAGCCAUGUAAUCCGGCUUUGAGCGCAGCACAUUGCGUACUCUCUACUGGGACAUGGGCAUCCAGAAGCCUUAUUUUUUUUUACUCUUGACCUCGGAUCAGGUAGGGAUACCCGCUGAACUUAAGCAUAUCAAUAAGCGGAGGA